ACAAUCCCAAAAAAAAAGCCAAAAACCAUAAUAGAAAAAACAAAAGAAAAAGGGAGGUAUCAUAGCUAUGUAGUGCUGGUUCUCUUUUUUCUUUUUGUGAAUAGUAAUUUUUUUACAUGUUUCUCCCUAAGCGAUUUCAUUAUU
rnacentral:ribozyme from 1 species